UUGGGAAUGGUCGGGAUAGCUCAGCU
rnacentral:tRNA from 2 species